rnacentral:lncRNA from 1 species
CUACACCUUCACCUGCAACACCGGUAACACCUUCACCUCCAUCACCUUCUACACCUUCACCUACUACCCCUGUAACUCCUUCACCUACGACACCUGUAACACCUUCACCUCCUUCCCCUUCAACACCUUCACCAUUUCCUUCACCUACAACACCUUCACCAUUUCCUUCACCUACGACACCUGUAACACCUUCACCUCCUUCCCCUUCAACACCUUCACCGUUUCCUUCACCUACGACACCUGUAACGCCUUCACCUCCUUCGCCAUUUCCUUCACCUACGCCACCUGUAACACCUUCACCUCCUUCCCCUUCAACACCUUCACCUACAACACCUUCACCAUUUCCUUCACCUACGACACCUGUAACGCCUUCACCUACGACACCUGUAACACCUUCACCUCCUUCGCCAUUUCCUUCACCUCCGUCAUUUCCUUCACCUACGCCACCUGUAACUCCUUCACCAGUACCUUCACCUCCAUCACCCACAACACCUUCACCUCCAUCACCUACAACAGUACCACCUGUUCAUAGUCCUUCUCCAGGGUAUUUGCCACCGCCGCCACAUUCUUCCCCUAUACCACCUGUGUACCCUCCACAACAUUCUCCAC